UAUUUGAGGUUUCUACUGUAAUGGCAGUAAAUGUAUUCCCAUAUAAUCCCGCAAUGCUGAUCUAAUAUGAAGCUUUUAAUCAAUGAAACUGUCCAUUACUAUAAUGAUGUUCAAAAUCCGGGUUUUAAUAUUUUGGUUAUAAAUAUAACAACUAUGGGUCUUUUUCUUAUCUUCUUCCAUUUCAGCGGACAUCUGGUCCUUGAUAAUUGGAGGGUAGUGGAAGUCCUAUACACAAUUCCAACUACUCUUCUUAAUAAUCCAGCAGAAAAUUCAAAUCAUAGCAUUUAGAAUAGUUCACAAUCAUCAUAUCUCACUAUCAGAGAUUUCUCUCAAACAAACAUCUUUGUAGCAGCAUUUUUCAGUUCCCUUCAGAAGUUGUUGGGUCUUUUUCAUGGGUUUUUCUGAUGAACUCGGUACUUCAAAUCGUCUUCAUCUUGCCUAUAUCUCCUCACCUACUUGGAAGUGCCACUGGCAUCCAAAAUACUUGUUGCAGGGACAGCUCGAUCAAAAGACUGCACAGAAAAGGAAGAGACUUAGCUUGGGUUGGAAUCAGAACAGCUAAAGGAGGAGGCUUUAUUGUCUGUGACGGCCAAAGCUUAUGACGUUCUUUUUCUCCAACCAUGCUGCAAAGGUUUAGCUAAGUUUAAUUAAGAAUUCGUAUGUCUACUCUUUUUCAUGCUAAAAGAGAGCGGUAUCAGACUUCAUUCAACGUCAGAAAAAGACAAUGGUGCAAGGCAAAUGAACCAUGUGCAAGAUUUGCUCACUCUUCUUCUAUACGGACAAAGGCAAGGCCAAAACUGGUAAAGAGGUGUGGCAGUGGCAGCUUCCUUAUGAGAGGACUCCUCUUUCACACCUUCACCGGCAAGGGGAAUCUUUUCUUCAUUUUGUUGUUGGGACCAGAUAACUACAAUUGAUGCCUCAUUGUUUGGUGGCAUAUGUUUUUUAUGAUAGAUACGGAUUUUGUUAUCCAUUUCUUGUUCUAUUUUGCGUUUGUUUUUAAACCCUUUACCUUUUUAUCUGAAAUAUUAUUUUACUUUUGCGUAUUAUCCAGACCAAGAGAUAAUUGCAUUGCAACAUGUUUGCUGUCAUGAAAGAUGAGACGAAAAACCAAAGACCCACCACCAUGGACCACAGCACUUGACCAUAUAUGAUUAGGCCCCAUCAAACUCAUCAUAGGACAUGUUAACUGGACAAACUAUAAUAGCAAUUUGCAGACUUUCAACAAUUUUAGACAAUUAUAAUCUAAAUGCACCUGCAAGCUGCUUCAUCUUGGAGGAAGUCAAUUCAGAAAUAACAUGAAUUUAAUUAUAAAGUUUCGAGCAGUAAUAGGAGGCAACAUAAAUGUAAGCUCUUCUAACCCUCUUUCAAUCCCUCUCAAACAUCAUGAUCAACUAAAGCAUGUAUGUUGUUUUAAAUAAUAGAAAGGUUUUUGCAGCAGCUAAUAUUGGUCCAUGCUCACUAGUCGCGCUCACUAAUAGCUGUCAGAUGUUCAUCAAUUUCCUCAGUUGACAACACUCUGAAAGCUGGGUUAU